rnacentral:lncRNA from 1 species
GUACAUUAGAAAAUAAACUAAAUAAAUUGGAAAGUUGGCUAUAUAAUUGAAAAAUAGGAGGUUCCUAAUGAUUAGUAGUGAAAACUGAUUUCAAUUUGGAGCUUUAGAUUAAAAGUUAUGUUAGUCCCGAUUUUAGGGACUAAUUUCAAUAAAAUGUGAAAUUUAUAUAAAAAUGAAAAUUGGUUGUAAAUUUGGUUGAAUAUUUAUGGUAUUGCAUGUUUAUGUUAAUUCUUAGCUAAUGUCGAUCCGGAUUCCUCGAGGGAGAAAGGAAAAGCUAAAGCCGUUGACGAAUAGGUCGACAUUCUCAGUUUGUACUUCUAUGAUUCGAUUCAAUUUAAUUCUUACUUAUUUAUAUUAAAUUGUAUGAUCUAAUCAUGAUUUAAGUAUAUAAUGCUUGUUUGAGUUAUGUUCAGAUGAUUAAUAUGGUAUAUCGAUUGAAUAGAAUAAAAAGUAGGAAGGCUUAUCUGAUAUAUGAAAUUAGUAUGAAAUUCAGUUGAGAUUGGUUAUAUACGAUAUUGGAAUGGUGAAUUGAUGAUGAAAUUGAUAUUGAUAGAAUUUGAAUUGAACUGAUAAUAGACACUUUAUUUUUAGUACCCAGAGCCUCAUGAAGUUUACCCCAAAAUCUAGAAGUAAAUCUCGGGUUUCAAUCAAAAAUAAUAGAAACUAAUACCCCGUGUAAUCUAACAAUUUCAGACACAUAAAAAUCAGGUAAUUUUUCAAGCGAAUAAUUUUUUCUGACCCGAAUAAAGUGACCCAACUUCAUCAAUCUAUCAAUAAUAAACCAGGUUGAAUCUUUCUUUCUUGGUGAUACAGGUAAUCCAUAUACAAAAUCCUUCGUGACUCAUUUCUAUUUCCAUUUAGAAAUCAUGACAUAUUGCAAUAGUCCAGACAGUACCUGAUGUUCGGCUUUCACAUGCUGACAAAUUAAACAUUUAGCUACAAACUUAGAAAUUUCGCGUUUUAUACCCGGCCACCAAUACAUCUGUUUCAGAUCACAAAACAUUUUCAUACUACCCAGAUGAAUAAAGUACAUACUACUAUGUGCUUCAAUCAAAAUGUCUUGUUUCAAUUCCAAAUUGUUCAGAACACACAAUCUAUUGUGAAAUUACAAUAUACUAUCAAUACCAACACUAAAUUCUGUAGAUGAAUCACUCUGAAUAUGAUCUCGUUUAGCUACUAACUUCGGGUCAACAUUUUGAAACUCCUCAAUCCUUUGAAGAAACACUGGUCUAGCUUUCAAUUCAGCUAAAAUAGAACAAUCAUGAUUCAAAAUCAACUGAGCAUUCAACGCUCUCAAAGCAAACAAUGAUUUUUGACUUAAUGAAUCUACAACAACAUUAGCUUUUUCAGGUUGAUAAUCAAUUACUAAAUCAUAAUCUUUCAAUAGCUCAAGCCAUCAUCAUUGCCUCAGAUUCAACUCAUUUUAAGUCAUCAAAUACUUCAGGCUUUUAUGAUCAGUGUAAACGUGAUAUCUCUCACCAUACAAGUAAUGUGGCCAAAUCUUCAAAGUGAAAAUAACCGCGGCCAAUUCGAGAUCGUGUGUCAAGUAAUUUCUCUCGUGUGGUUUUAACUAUUAAGAAGCAUAAGCUACAACCUUUCCAGCUUGCAUCAAAACACAACCUAAGCCACUAAGUGACGCAUCACUAUAAACAACAUACUAUUUUUCGGAUUCAAGCUGAGUUAGUACAGGGGCUUCUGUCAAUAUAUUUUUCAACUGAUCAAAAUUCUGUUGGCACUUGUCUGAUUAAACAAACUCAACAUUUUUCAGUAACAAUCUAAUCAGCGGUGAAGAAACUAUAGAGAAAUUCUUAAUAAAAUGACAAUAGUAACCUGCUAAGCCCAGAAAACUUCUCACCUCUGAAACAUUUUUCGGAGCUUUCCAAUUAGCAAUGUCAGAAACUUUACUCGGAUUGAUACAAAUCCCAUCCGAAAAAAAAAUAUGUUACCAUGAAAUCCAACCUCGGGAACCCAAAAUUACGUAUGCUACCCUAGCAUGUUUCUGUCUGCCUCCUUGGCAAGUCUAGGUUUUCAAAAGUUCCUUGUUUCGACGGCUACCAUCUAAAGGGUCUAAAAUAAUUUUCUUAAUCUGUUUCUCAUGUAAUUGUCCAUGGAGUCAAAUUUCACCGGUCUGUUUAUUGAUGAUGAAAAAGAAUAAAUCCUGCAAGCACAAGGAGAGACAGAAUCGGUAAGUGAAGAAGAGAUUUUAAGUUUGGUUGGUUGUUUUCUUACAGCCAGUAUUAUUCAUUAUCCAACAAUGAAAAGCACCAUGGCUAAUUUAUGGCAUCCGGUCAAGGGUGUUCAAAUCAAAGACUUGGGGGACAAGAGAUAUAUUUUUAAAUUCUUUCAUAUUGUGGAUAUGGAAAAAGUUUUAAAAGGGUCCCCUUGGACUUUUAAUAAUCACCUGCUGAUUUUGCAUAAGUUGAGUAGGGUAAAGGAUCCGUUAAGAGUUCCGUUAAUCUCAACAUCUUUCUGGAUACAAGUACAUGAUGUUCCCAUUGGCUUUUAUUCUGAAAAUCUGGCCAUACAAUUGGGAAAUUUCAUUGGAAUAUUCCAAGAGUAUGAUAGUGCUAAUUUAAGGAAAGAGAAUAUGAAUAAUAUGCGGAUCAGAAUACAGAUUGAUGUUAGACGGCCUCUCAAAAGGAAAAAACAAGUUAAGUUUCACAAUAAAUGCUUACGUCAGAUUUAAGUAUGAGAGAUUAACACUUUUUUGUUUUUAUUGUGGCCGCCUAGGUCAUAAUGAUUCUUUUUGUGAAAUAAAAAUGGAGGCAGGGGUGGAAAUUGGUGAGAUGGGAUGGGAUUUGUCUUUGCGAGCACAGUCAAGAAGAGCCCAAGCAAUGAGUAGUGUCUGGUUAAGGGAGGAAGGAGGAUUUUCAGAUGGAAAUAAAGGAGAUAAACUCAGGGGAAAUAGAGACUGAAGGAAGGCAUGGAAAUUUGAAAGUAAUCUUGACCCUAAUUUAGGUUUCAACUUGAAAGGUAAUGAGGUCACUUUAGGUCUAGGGGGAAUGAGAAAAAUAAUUGACAAUAACCACAUGGCGAUGGAGCAUGAUUUGGAGAAUGAGGUGGUUAUUUGUGAGGAGGGGAAAAAGAAGGUUAGAGAGAGGUGGAGGAAAGUAAUGAGAUGGGAGGGAGAAAUAGGAGGAAGGCUGAAGUCAACCAUUUGUUAUCGGUGGCUGCUAAGAGGCAAGCCGACCGGUCGCAAUGAAAAUUUUAAGCUGGAACGUCCGAGGAUUGGGGAAUCCUCGGACAGUCCGACGACUUCGGCAUUCGCUGAAGCGACAUUAUCCCCAAAUUAUCUUCUUAAUAGAGACAAGUAAACAAAUUUCAGAUGGGGAAAAUUCGAAGAAGCUGUGGGUUUCAAUGCAGAAUUGAUGUAGAUUCUAUUGGAUCAAAAGGUGGACUAAGUCUUGCAUGGCGAGGAAAUGUUAUUAUUACGCUUCAGAGUUUUUCAGAUAAACAUAUUGAUGUGAUUGUCGAGGAAGAAGGAGAUGAUAAAAGAUGGAACUUUACAGGUUUCAAAGGUUCUCCAUACUCGCGAGACAGGGGUGACGCAUGGAAUCUGUUGGGACAAUUACAGUGUCAUGGAGAUUAUCCAUGGCUAAUUUGUAGAGACUUCAAAAAAAUCUUAUAUGGAUUCGAGAAGAACGAGGAUUACCUAAGGAGGAAAGAAGAAUGGAAGAUUUUCGUCAAGUGCUUGAGGAAUGCAGUCUAAAUGAUUUGGGCUAUUCAAGUAGGUGGUACACGUGGGAGAGAGAAUUUUUAUGAAACGAAUAUUCAAGAAAGACUUGAUAGAGGAGUUGCAACGGAGCAAUGGAGCGCUUUAUUCCCUAAUUCCUUGAUUAGGCACCUUCCACAUACAUUCUCUGAUCAUUGUCCACUUCUUCUAGAUACCGCUGUUAGGAAAAGAGGAAAGGGAAGAAGAAAUUUCAAGUUCGAAGCAUGGUGGGUGACGGAAGUAACAUUCUUUAACGAAACCAAACAAAUUUGGGAAAACUCCACAGGAGAUUUUUUGAACAGGAUGGAAAAUCUAAAAAGAGGUUUGGAAAGGUGGGGGAUCACAAUCCAACAGAAUAGAAAGAUGAAAACAGAGGUCUUGUCUUCAAAGCUGGCAACAUUACUUGAAUCUGAUAGAAGUGACGAGAAUCUGGCAAAAAUUAUAGACACAAAUUCAUCUGAAAUCUUAAGAUCAAAAAGGAUGAAUGCUACUAGAAACAAAGGGCCCGAGUUAAUUGGUUAAAACUUGGUGAUAAAAAUACAGCUUUCUUUCACAAACAAGCGUCACAAAUAAGAAAGCAAAAUCAAAUUCACAGGCUACAGUUCGAAGACGAAAGGGAGACAGACGAGUGUGAAGAGAAAGAGGCGAUUACUAGAGAGUACUUUCAGAAAUUAUUUUCAACAGGAGGACAAAGAAAUUUGGAGAGGAUUCUGAGAGGAAUUAAACGAUGUAUUUCAGAUGAGGACAAUAAUUAUCUAAAGGCAAGAUAUACAAAGGAGGAAAUAUUUGAAGCUCUUUCAAAAAUGGGACCUACAAAAGCUCCAGGUGAGGAUGGAUUUCCAACCCUAUUUUAUCAGAAGUGUUGGCCAAUUAUAAGAGAGGAUGUUUCUGGUUUUUGUCUCCAGAGGUUAAACGAAGGUAUGGAUUUACGUUCAAUUACUAAAACAAAUAUUAUGCUAAUCCCAAAAGUCCCAAAUCCUUCAAGGAUUACUCAAUUUAGGCCAAUUAGCUUAUGUAAUGUGAUUUACAAAUUGAUAGCUAAAGUCAUUACUAGAAGGCUCCGGAGAGUGAUUCAUAAAUGUAUUGAUUUAGCACAGUGUUUUUGUUCCUGAAAGGCUGAUUUCAGAUAAUGUCCUUCUUGCUUAUGAAAUUCUUCACUCUGAAACUCAAGAGGGUGGGGAAAAAAGGAUUCAUGGCUGUCAAGCUAGACAUGAGUAAAGCAUAUGACAGGGUUGAAUGGGGUUUUGUGGAAAAGGUAAUGGAAAAAAUGGGAUUUGAUUCUGAUUGGAUUGAGUCAAUUUUAAAUUCUCUUCAGUCUCAUAUGAAGUGAUAGUCAAUGGUAGUAGAGGGCAAACAAUCAUUCCAUCUAGAGGCCUAAGACAAGGAGACCCUCUAAGUCCGUUCUUAUUUCUUCUUUGUGCAGAAGGACUUUCAAGUCUAAUAAGGCUAACAGAAGAAGAGAAUACUCUUAAAGGAGUUAAAGCAAGCCGAAGAGGACCAACUAUCUCCCACUUACUCUUUGCAGAUGAUUGCAUCUUACUUACUCUUUGCAGAUGAUUGCAUCUUAUUUGCAGAAGCUUCUAAAAGGGGGCACAGUCUCUAAAACAGAUUUUACAAGAAUACAAAAUAAACUCAAGGCAAUGUGUAAAUUAUGAAAAAUCAACAAUCUUUUUUAGUACAAAUACAAAAGAGGGGGUAAAGGGUGACGUCACAAUGAUCCUUCGAGUUAGAAGAGCUAAUGAUAUUAAGCGGUAUCUAGGGUUGCCUAGUUUGGUAGGGAAACAAAAGAAGUCAUCUUUUCAAAGUUUGAAGGAUAGACUCAAUCAAAGGAUUGACAAUUGGAGUAUUAUGUUUCUCUCCCAAAGGGGGAAAGAAGUGUUUAUCUAAGCAGUUCUACAAGCCAUUCCAACUUAUUCAAUGAGUUGUUUUCUUCUCCCUAAGACCCUUUGCGCAGAUUUGUUGCUAAUCUCUGGUGGAGGAAGAGAAUGAAUAGGAAGAGUAUACAUUGGUGCACUUGGGAGAAUUUAUGUUUGUUAAAAGAAGAUGGAGGUUUUGGUUUUCGUAAUUUUGCGAAAUAUAAUAUUGCAUUAUUAGCGAAACAAGGUUGGCGUCUUAUUAAUUGUCCAAAUUCAUUAUUGGCAAGUGUUUUGAAAGCUAAGUAUUAUCCCGAUUCAGACUUUUAUAAAGCUAGAUUGGGGAAUUUACCGUCGUUUACCUGGAAAAGUGUAUGGUCUGCGAAAGGUCCGCUUGAAAAAGGUCUUCGCUGGAGGGUGGGGAGAGGUGAUAAAAUUUU